UAGGGAAUCUUCGGCAAUGGACGAAAGUCUGACCGAGCAACGCCGCGUGAGUGAAGAAGGUUUUCGGAUCGUAAAACUCUGUUGUUAGAGAAGAACAAGGACGUUAGUAACUGAACGUCCCCUGACGGUAUCUAACCAGAAAGCCACGGCUAACUACGUGCCAGCAGCCGCGGUAAUACGUAGGUGGCAAGCGUUGUCCGGAUUUAUUGGGCGUAAAGCGAGCGCAGGCGGUUUCUUAAGUCUGAUGUGAAAGCCCCCGGCUCAACCGGGGAGGGUCAUUGGAAACUGGGAGACUUGAGUGCAGAAGAGGAGAGUGGAAUUCCAUGUGUAGCGGUGAAAUGCGUAGCUAUAUGGAGGAACACCAGUGGCGAAGGCGGCUCUCUGGUCUGUAACUGACGCUGAGGCUCGAAAGCGUGGGGAGCAAACAGG
rnacentral:rRNA from 2 species